AACGCACCUUGCGCCUUUUGGUAUUCCGAAAGGCAUGCCUGUUUGAGUGUCAUGAAACCAUCAAUCCCUUGGGUUUUGUCACCCGGGUGGACUUGGACUUGGGCGUCUGCCGUCACCGGCUCGCCUUAAAAGCGUUAGUGGGAGGUGUCCUGCGGCUUGACGUGAUAAGAUUUCGUCUUGCCUCUCGACCAUCGCCCGCUCACAACACCCCUUACAUUUUACUUCUGACCUCAAAUCAGGUAGGGCUACCCGCUGAACUUAA
rnacentral:misc_RNA from 1 species